rnacentral:rRNA from 1 species
GAAAGAUGAAAAGAACUUUGAAAAGAGAGUUAAACAGUACGUGAAAUUGUUGAAAGGGAAACGAUUGAAGCCAGUCGUACCUUCGGGUAAUCAGCCUUUCGGGUGCGAUUCUGUGGAGUUUGAGGAGCUUAACACCUUCAUGCUUUGCAUAUUCGUGCUCUUGGGUGUACUUGCUCGUAUGGUUGGUUAACAUCAAUUUUGGUGAUCAUAAAAUGACUGGAGGAAUGUAGCUUCGAUCUCGUAUUGAAGUGUUAUA